AAGGCUCUUUUAUAGUGCAACAACAGUCGGCGGUGACUAAAAAACGGAUUUUUGUCUGCGCCAUCUACGCAAUCCUCACUAUUUUUAGCCGGCCUCCCUGCCGCGCCUCCGUAACCGCCUCCAAUAGCAAUGUCCGCAAAUGUGCGCGAAUAAACGCGAACGAAUUUAACUAAGACAAACAUUUGGAGCAGACGAGCCGGUCACGACCCACAGGCAAAAGAUUGCGGACGACAGUGUGCAAAGGGCGCGCUUGGCUUGGCAAGCGGUCAGACAGAGUGGGCAAGCUGGUUUCUUUGACCGGA
ensembl:ncRNA F40E10.12 ncRNA